UGGGGGUUGCUCUGUCCUGCGUUUGUUUGCAGAUGUGACUGGUGCAGGUGAUCCAGGAUCCGCUCUGAGCUCUGGGACCAAAACUCUGGCAGAAGGCAUGGAAGUGCCCCCGUGGCUGUCUUUGCCCGGUUGUUCAUUUCCUCCUGUGCUGGAGCCCAGCUGGAAUCCCAGCAGUCAGGAAAGAGGAAAGGAUGAACCCAAAGGAGGAAGAAACUCCCAGGCUCGUCCCAUCUCCUAAAGGAACUGCUGAAGGAAAUGGAG